AGUGUGUUAAUUCGAAGCAACGCGAAGAACCUUACCAGGUCUUGACAUCCCGAUGCUAUUUCUAGAGAUAGAAAGUUACUUCGGUACAUCGGUGACAGGUGGUGCAUGGUUGUCGUCAGCUCGUGUCGUGAGAUGUUGGGUUAAGUCCCGCAACGAGCGCAACCCUUGUCAUUAGUUGCCAUCAUUUGGUUGGGCACUCUAAUGAGACUGCCGGUGACAAACCGGAGGAAGGUGGGGAUGACGUCAAGUCCUCAUGGCCCUUAUGGGUAGGGCUUCACACGUCAUACAAUGGUCGGUACAGAGGGUUGCCAACCCGCGAGGGGGAGCUAAUCCCACAAAGCCGAUCGUAGUCCGGAUCGCAGUCUGCAACUCGACUGCGUGAAGUCGGAAUCGCUAGUAAUCGUGGAUCAGCAUGUCACGGUGAAUACGUUCCCGGGUCUU
rnacentral:rRNA from 1 species